rnacentral:rRNA from 1 species
AUGGAGGAGAUGCCAGCACAGGGUUUGGUGGCAGAAGUCACUGGAUGCAUGCCCAAGAAGCCCAGCACGGCCAGAUCAAAUCACCCAGGAAAGUUACGUGUGUGCAAGCUAGCUAGACAAGCACACAAGCAAACUGCUGGAUUGAUGAACAGUAGGGUUCAACAUAAUAUAGUACUCUGUAUAGCAAAAAGCUCUCUUUCUCUGAAGUACAGGCAGCCCACGAGCAGUAGUAAGCAGAGCAAUAGCGAGCGGCCAAGUAAGCAGCAACAAGCUUGUGGCCUAACCAUGUGGCCCGGACCAAAAUGGUCUCAUGUGGCAGCACCACAACCGUCUCCAGCAACGGCUAGAAUGAGAAAAACCGGCGCUGACAAAGAAAAGAAGGCACAAGAAGGCAAUGGCAGCUUCUCACCCUGCUGUUCGUGGCAAUGCCUGAUGGCACAAGAAGGCAGUGGCAGCUUCUCACCCUGCAAAUAUGGAAGAAGUAGGAGAGACCUGCGGCUUCGAAUCCUUGGUCCAGAGGAGAAGCAGAGCCCGUCAUGGUUCCUGGAGUUACUCGGGGAGGAGGACGACCGCUGUGGCGUCGCAACGGCAGCUGACAAAACAAAGGAAGGCGGCCUCGGUCCAAAAGUUUGUUGCAUGCUCGGUGUCCAGGAAUCGAACCAGAACGACGGCCGGAGCUGA